rnacentral:rRNA from 2 species
CAUGGUUCAAGGAUGAAAGACGGUUUCGGCUGUCACUUACAGAUGGACCCGCGGCGCAUUAGCUAGUUGCUGAGGUAACGGCUCACCAAGGCGACGAUGCGUAGCCGACCUGAGAGGGUGAUCGGCCACACUGGGACUGAGACACGGCCCAGACUCCUACGGGAGGCAGCAGUAGGGAAUCUUCCGCAAUGGACGAAAGUCUGACGGAGCAACGCCGCGUGAGUGAUGAAGGUUUUCGGAUCGUAAAGCUCUGUUGUUAGGGAAGAACAAGUGCAAGAGUAACUGCUUGCACCUUGACGGUACCUAACCAGAAAGCCACGGCUAACUACGUGCCAGCAGCCGCGGUAAUACGUAGGUGGCAAGCGUUGUCCGGAAUUAUUGGGCGUAAAGGGCUCGCAGGCGGUUUCUUAAGUCUGAUGUGAAAGCCCCCGGCUCAACCGGGGAGGGUCAUUGGAAACUGGGAAACUUGAGUGCAGAAGAGGAGAGUGGAAUUCCACGUGUAGCGGUGAAAUGCGUAGAGAUGUGGAGGAACACCAGUGGCGAAGGCGACUCUCUGGUCUGUAACUGACGCUGAGGAGCGAAAGCGUGGGGAGCGAACAGGAUUAGAUACCCUGGUAGUCCACGCCGUAAACGAUGAGUGCUAAGUGUUAGGGGGUUUCCGCCCCUUAGUGCUGCAGCUAACGCAUUAAGCACUCCGCCUGGGGAGUACGGUCGCAAGACUGAAACUCAAAGGAAUUGACGGGGGCCCGCACAAGCGGUGGAGCAUGUGGUUUAAUUCGAAGCAACGCGAAGAACCUUACCAGGUCUUGACAUCCUCUGACAACCCUAGAGAUAGGGCUUUCCCUUCGGGGACAGAGUGACAGGUGGUGCAUGGUUGUCGUCAGCUCGUGUCGUGAGAUGUUGGGUUAAGUCCCGCAACGAGCGCAACCCUUGAUCUUAGUUGCCAGCAUUCAGUUGGGCACUCUAAGGUGACUGCCGGUGACAAACCGGAGGAAGGUGGGGAUGACGUCAAAUCAUCAUGCCCCUUAUGACCUGGGCUACACACGUGCUACAAUGGACAGAACAAAGGGCUGCGAGACCGCAAGGUUUAGCCAAUCCCACAAAUCUGUUCUCAGUUCGGAUCGCAGUCUGCAACUCGACUGCGUGAAGCUGGAAUC